rnacentral:rRNA from 1 species
CAGCAGCCGCGGUAAUACGGAGGGGGCUAGCGUUGUUCGGAUUUACUGGGCGUAAAGCGCACGUAGGCGGAUCGAUCAGUCAGGGGUGAAAUCCCAGAGCUCAACUCUGGAACUGCCUUUGAUACUGUCGAUCUGGAGUAUGGAAGAGGUGAGUGGAAUUCCGAGUGUAGAGGUGAAAUUCGUAGAUAUUCGGAGGAACACCAGUGGCGAAGGCGGCUCACUGGUCCAUUACUGACACUGAGGUGCGAAAGCGUGGGGAGCAAACAGGAUUAGAUACCCCUGUAGUCCCUGUCUCUUAUAC